rnacentral:tRNA from 1 species
GGUGGCGUAGCCAAGUGGUAAGGCAGCGGUCUGCAAAACCGCUAUGCGCCGGUUCAAAUCCGGCCGCCACCUCCA